rnacentral:lncRNA from 1 species
GAAGGAAUGUGCGUCCGCAACCCUGUGUGGGUCGAUCAAGAAGCACCUACUAGACCAUUUCCACAAGAAACCUGUGCCACCAAAGCCAAAGCCAGAACCUAAGCCAGAGCUGGAGCCGAAGCCAGAACCUAAGCCAGAGCCAGAGAACCACCCACCUACACCAACAUACGGAUCCUCAACUCCGAUCUACCAUCCUCCAUCCAGGCAGUUGUUUGACAAGAAACACAUGUUUGAUAACUUCCACAAGCACCACGACUACCAUCACUUCUUUGACCACUUCCACAAGAAACCAGUUCCACCAAAGCCAAAACCAGAACCUAAGCCAGAACCAAAACCCAAGCCCCAGCCAGAGUACCACUCUCCAACUCCAACAUAUGGGUCGCCCACACCGAUCUACCACCCUCCGGCUAGGCAUUUGUUUGAUAAGAAGCCCUUGCUAGAUCACUUCCAUAAGGACCAUGACUAUCACCACUUCUUAGACCACUUCCACAAGAAACCCGUGCCACAAAAGCCAAAGCUAGAACCCAAGCCACAGC